GUCCACACCGUAACGAUGAUUACUAGGUGUUGGAGGAUUGACCCUUCAGUGCCGCAGUUAACACAAUAAGUAAUCCACCUGGGAGUACGACCGCAAGGUUGAACUCAAGGAAUUGACGGGCCCGCACAAGCAGUGGAGUAUGUGGUUUAAUUCGACGCAACGCGAAGAACCUUACCAAGUCUUGACAUCCUGCGACGAUGCUGGAAACAGUAUUUUCCUUCGGGACGCAGAGACAGGUGGUGCAUGGUUGUCGU
rnacentral:rRNA from 1 species